rnacentral:rRNA from 1 species
GGAAGUAAAAGUCGUAACAAGGUUUCCGUAGGUGAACCUGCGGAAGGAUCAUUACUGAUUUAGCGAACCGAGCGUUAGCGAGGUUUUGCGAUCAACUUGUAUUUAAAACCCACUCUUCAAUGUAUAAAAUUUGUAUUAAUGAUAAGUUAAAAGAUCACUUUCAACAACGGAUCUCUUGGCUCUCGCAUCGAUGAAGAACGUAGCGAAGUGCGAUAAGUAAUGUGAAUUGCAGUAUUCCGUGAAUCAUCGAAUCUUUGAACGCAUAUUGCACUUUCUGGUAUUCCGGAAAGUAUGCCUGUUUGAGGGUCAGUUAAAUAAAAAUCGGUGUUGUUGCUGCCUUUCGUGGUGACGCGUCGGAAUUGAGUCGUCUUACCUUCGGUUAAGUGACUUAAAAUUUUGUAUGAUUUUUGAACGUAUUUAAAUUUAUUUGUACGUUUGAGAUAUCGAAUGUUUAUUAGGUUCGGUCAUUCUAAUGACUCGCGCCUAUAGUUUUUCAUUAAAUGACCUCAAAUCAGGUAAGAAUACCCGCUGAACUUAAGCAUAUCAAUAAGCGGAGGA